AUCAGGAGUACCGGUGCUAACAGUCAAAUUCUGAUAUUGGUCACCAUGGACUAAAACUGGAGUUGUUCCCAUUGAAGUUAAUGGAGUUACUCCUGAUUCUCACUGGUGGGAAAUCAGAAACCUGGCCUGUAAUCUUGCACUUGAGUGCUUAGUUUGCCACCCUCAAGCAUGAGACCUUUCCCAAAACCAAGAUGCUGAAAGAACAUACUCCAUUCAGAUGGCCUGUUUCUAUGUUGCAGAUCUUGCUGGCCAAGGCACCUCCCUAUCUCACAGCUUCGUUUGCACGUUAUUUUGAAGUAAAACUUGAGUGUCCCCUCACUGCUGUGAUGACUGUACAGAAAUAAAACCUUAUACGCAGGUGGCAGCUUACUUUCCGUGGUACCUUUUCUUUGUUUGGGAGCUUCCUUUCUUCCUGUCCCCUUGCGGUCCUGUCUGAGGAACGAACUCCAUUCAAAAUUCUAGUAUCUGGAAGUUACAGCUGUGAGUUCGGAGUUGGUUUUGGCCUGAUCUGUAGAUGUGAAGAUGUAUCCAACAUGAGGCAAGGAAAGAAAAAACAUCGACAUGUUGCCAGUGGGUAAAGCCUCUGAUGGAUCUUCCCUUUUUAGGGCAGAUUGAUAUAGCACCCCUGGGAGUAUUGGGAUUCAGACUGACCUGCCCUUUCUGAGAUCAGCGUGCAUUUCCUUUAGCAUCACAAUAUAGUUCAUUGUACAGUUCAACAUUGACAAUUAUUGAAAAGGAGCUGUACAGAGAGCAGUAUUCCACCUUGAGCAGAAAAGCUUGAAGUAUUCGGUGUACCAGAUCCUGUUGUUCACACACAGAACGGGUUACUUCAUCAUCUCUUAAAACCUGGGAGGCUGUGCUCUAGUUAAUUCCUUUAAAAUUUAGUUUCCGAAAUAGAAUUUGGAAUAAGUGCAGUUCUCAGAAGUGGCAAAGAAGGUGAAUAACUUUACGGUGGUAUAAAUAUAAACAGAGCAAGGCUCUAACGUUUGAGUCAUAGAUUUAAAAAAAAAACCCACAAAACAAAGCAACCCUGCAUCUGUAUUUCAUCUUACAUGAGUCACUCAGUUUAAAAAUGCUGGCACGUUUAGUAUAACUUUUUUUUUAACAGUGGCAGAUAUUCAACAGUAUACAUCUUUAGGGAUCUGCAAAAUGUU